rnacentral:rRNA from 1 species
GUGGGGAAUCUUGCGCAAUGGGCGAAAGCCUGACGCAGCCAUGCCGCGUGAAUGAUGAAGGUCUUAGGAUUGUAAAAUUCUUUCACCGGGGACGAUAAUGACGGUACCCGGAGAAGAAGCCCCGGCUAACUUCGUGCCAGCAGCCGCGGUAAUACGAAGGGGGCUAGCGUUGCUCGGAAUUACUGGGCGUAAAGGGCGCGUAGGCGGACAGUUUAGUCAGAGGUGAAAGCCCAGGGCUCAACCUUGGAAUUGCCUUUGAUACUGGCUGUCUUGAGUACGGGAGAGGUGAGUGGAACUCCGAGUGUAGAGGUGAAAUUCGUAGAUAUUCGGAAGAACACCAGUGGCGAAGGCGACUCACUGGCCCGUUACUGACGCUGAGGCGAAAGCGUGGGGAGCAAACAGGAUUAGAAACCCGAGUAGUCC